rnacentral:rRNA from 1 species
GACGAACGCUGGCGGCGUGCUUAACACAUGCAAGUCGAACGGAAAGGCCCUGCUUUUGUGGGGUGCUCGAGUGGCGAACGGGUGAGUAACACGUGAGUAACCUGCCCUUGACUUUGGGAUAACUUCAGGAAACUGGGGCUAAUACCGGAUAGGAGCUCCCGCUGCAUGGUGGGGGUUGGAAAGUUUCGGCGGUUGGGGAUGGACUCGCGGCUUAUCAGCUUGUUGGUGGGGUAGUGGCUUACCAAGGCUUUGACGGGUAGCCGGCCUGAGAGGGUGACCGGCCACAUUGGGACUGAGAUACGGCCCAGACUCCUACGGGAGGCAGCAGUGGGGAAUAUUGCACAAUGGGCGGAAGCCUGAUGCAGCAACGCCGCGUGCGGGAUGACGGCCUUCGGGUUGUCAACCGCUUUCGCCUGUGACGAAGCGUGAGUGACGGUAAUGGGUAAAGAAGCACCGGCUAACUACGUG